rnacentral:rRNA from 1 species
CACGGGUGAGUAACACGUAUCCAACCUGCCGUCUACUCUUGGACAGCCUUCUGAAAGGAAGAUUAAUACAAGAUGGCAUCAUGAGUCCGCAUGUUCACAUGAUUAAAGGUAUUCCGGUAGACGAUGGGGAUGCGUUCCAUUAGAUAGUAGGCGGGGUAACGGCCCACCUAGUCUUCGAUGGAUAGGGGUUCUGAGAGGAAGGUCCCCCACAUUGGAGCUGAGACACGGUCCAA